CACGUAGGGUGCGAGCGUUGUCCGGAAUUAUUGGGCGUAAAGAGCUCGUAGGCGGUGUGUCGCGUCGGCCGUGAAAACCUGCAGCUUAACUGUGGGCUUGCGGUCGAUACGGGCAUCACUGGAGUUCGGCAGGGGAGACUGGAAUUCCUGGUGUAGCGGUGAAAUGCGCAGAUAUCAGGAGGAACACCGGUGGCGAAGGCGGGUCUCUGGGCCGAUACUGACGCUGAGGAGCGAAAGCGUGGGGAGUGAACAGG
rnacentral:rRNA from 1 species